GCUGGCUGCGUGCUUAACACAUGCAAGUCGAACGCUGAAGCCCGAAGCUUGCUUCGGGUGGAUGAGUGGCGAACGGGUGAGUAACACGUGAGUAACCUGCCCCUGAUUUCGGGAUAAGCCUGGGAAACUGGGUCUAAUACCGGAUACGACCACCNNACGCAUGUGGGNUGGUGGAAAGUUUUUCGAUCGGGGAUGGGCUCGCGGCCUAUCAGCUUGUUGGUGGGGUAAUGGCCUACCAAGGCGACGACGGGUAGCCGGCCUGAGAGGGCGACCGGCCACACUGGGACUGAGACACGGCCCAGACUCCUACGGGAGGCAGCAGUGGGGAAUAUUGCACAAUGGGGGAAACCCUGAUGCAGCGACGCAGCGUGCGGGAUGACGNCUUCGGGUUGUAAANNNCUNUCAGCAGGGAAGAAGCCGUAAGG
rnacentral:rRNA from 1 species